GACGAACGCUGGCGGCGUGCUUAACACAUGCAAGUCGAACGGAAAGGCCCUGCUUUUGUGGGGUGCUCGAGUGGCGAACGGGUGAGUAACACGUGAGUAACCUGCCCUUGACUUUGGGAUAACUUCAGGAAACUGGGGCUAAUACCGGAUAGGAGCUCCUGCUGCAUGGUGGGGGUUGGAAAGUUUCGGCGGUUGGGGAUGGACUCGCGGCUUAUCAGCUUGUUGGUGGGGUAGUGGCUUACCAAGGCUUUGACGGGUAGCCGGCCUGAGAGGGUGACCGGCGACAUUGGGACUGAGAUACGGCGCAGAAGCCUACGGGAGGCAGCAGUGGGAAAUAUUGCAGAAUGGGCGGAAGCCUGAUGCAGCAACGCCGCGUGCGGGAUGACGGCCUUCGGGUUGUAAACCGCUUUCGCCUGUGACGAAGCGUGAGUGACGGUAAUGGGUAAAGAAGCACCGGCUAACUACGUG
rnacentral:rRNA from 1 species